rnacentral:tRNA from 2 species
GGGUGGAUGUCCGAGUGGUUAAAGGAGACAGGCUGUAAACUUGUUAGCGAAAGCUUACGCUGGUUCGAAUCCAGCUCCACCCA